AAGAUACAACAGGACAGGCUUUGAGGACAGAAACCCAGGGUCACGUUCCUGCUCCAUCACUUUCCAUCAGCAUGGUCUCGGGCAAGGGAAUCGUAAGCAGGUAACUGAUCAUCUGGAAACCUGGGGGACAAGAGGGAAGAAAUGACACCUAGGAUGCUCCAUCCUUUCCCUGCAUCCCUUUGUGUUCAGUUCAACAACUUGGUUCUCCUCCUGACCAGCCACUGUGCUUGGCUGAGGACACAAAGGUGAAGGAGACAGUCUAGUAUAAAACAUGACACAGACCAGACCCAAAGGGGAGGAAGAGGUCCUGUAGAAAGGUGAAGGGGCAUCAUUCACCAAGCCUCUCCAGCAUUAACCAGAGACUGCUGGAGGGCAGCGUGAGCCUACGGAAAAGACUCGACAUCCAGGGUUUGGACUUAAAGGCCCUAGUGUGGACUUCUUCAGUGCUCUGAUUCCUUGAAGAUUCUGUUGGCUUGUUCUCAAAACGUAAGCAACUUUCCAGUGCCAACAUAUUGAAUUCCUUGCCCACGGGGCAUUUCUCAUCAUCAUGGGUUGCAAUGUGUGCUGUUGUCUGUUGCUGCAUAAUAAACCAGUAAGUCUGCUUAA